CAACCGCUGGCGAGGUCCGUGAAUGUUG
ncrna:unclassified sequences L19-Flavobacteria ribosomal protein leader